ACUACACAUGCUGAAAAAAUGUUACCGUAAUGACACAUAAAAUUACCAGCCAUCCACGAGAUAUGAAAAAGAGCUUCCUUGUUGUGCUCCUGAGAAAAGGUGCCGUACCCAGGUCAUUGCACAAUCCUAUUAAGGAUAGGUGCAGCAGCGGCCAAAUAUAACCUCAUCUGUUGAUUAUGCAAGAAUGGAAUGAUGGAGCCUGGUUCUGGAACCUGGCUAAAGGACGACACCUGCUGCUCCCCAGCUAGAUGAUGAAUCUUCAGUCUCCACAAACUGCAGAUGCUGCUACUGACAGAAAUGGCCCAGCUGGUUACUUAGUGGUUUCUACCUUCACAAAACAGCUGGGACUACUGUAAGAAGAACCCAAAUACCGGCAGGUUGGUUUUUUAAAGGGUGCUCUUGCCAUAAUGCUGGAACCAGAAAUUAGAAUUAGAACAAUUAGGAC